AGCCCUGGUUCUGAAAUCCAAGUGUCGUCCGAAGUUUUAAUCAUCGAGAUUCUGUUUCUUUGUCUUCGUGGAAUUGUUGUCGCAUGGAAAAAUUUAGUAUUUUUAUCACCCCAUUUCAACCACUUUAUCCUUGAUCUAGCUCCCAAUACAUCUCUUCCUGUCUCCACAGUGUCUCAAUUUCUCCCUGCAGUUUCUUAACCUUUUCUCUAUCGAAAGGACUAUCACUUCUGUUCAUGUAUUGCUGGAGCUCUUGUUUCAGUGAACAUAUUCUUUUCUAUCCAUUCCCGAAUGUCUUCUUACUCUACUUUGUCAGUGCAAAAGUCACAGCCCGCAGUUUCCCUGUUAAGUUCUUUUUAGCCUAGAGGGGGGAAUCCCAAACUUCCUUUAUAAUUUCCUUACAUUGGUUAUUUUCAAGCCAAAAAGCUUCAAAUUUGAACUCUUUUUUACGUUUCUCAUGAUUGCCUUGAAGAGAUAGAACUAUAGGGGCUAUGGUCAGAUCCUAUUGCCGGGAGGGCAAAAGCUUCUGCUUGAGGGAAUAAAAUCCUCCAUUCUAUGUUGCAUAACACCCUGUCAAGAUGUUCUUUGAUGUUUUCCACUCCAUCUCUGGUAUUCGACCAAGUGAAGGUGCAUCCUUUGCUUUCCAUGUCCAUUAACAGGCAAGCAUUCAGAAAACCCUGGAAUUCUGUCAUACAAGAAAUUUCAACCAAACACUUCCCCACUUUUUCCCAAUAGAACAGUACUUCGUUAAAAUCUCCUAGACAAACCCAGGGCAAUGAAUUUGAUAAGCUCAUAACACGGAGUUCCUCCCACAGUUCACAUCUUUUUUGAAAAUGAUAACGAGCAUGAACAAAAGUGACUCUCAUCCUCUUGCCACUCGAUAAGUCUUUGCACCAGAGAUUCAUAUAACUCUUUGUUUGCGAAUCGAAAGUGAGUUCAACUCUAUCAUCCCACAAGAUAGCCAAACCACCAGCAGUUCUUACCGGGUUAACGACCCUACAAUUCUGAAAUUGUAGUAUCCUCCUUAUUCUCUAAAGAACCAACUCUUGGUUUUUAGUUUCCAUAAAAAAACCACAGCAGGCCUGAGUCAAGCCACAAGGGCUCUUAAUUCUAGGACUGUCAAGGGUGUGCCCAAUCCUUGACAG